rnacentral:rRNA from 1 species
UACGGAGGGAGCUAGCGUUGUUCGGAAUUACUGGGCGUAAAGCGCACGUAGGCGGCUAUUCAAGUCAGAGGUGAAAGCCCGGGGCUCAAUCCCGGAACUGCCUUUGAAACUAGAUAGCUAGAAUCUUGGAGAGGUCGAGUGGAAUUCCGAGUGUAGAGGUGAAAUUCGUAGAUAUUCGGAAGAACACCAGUGGCGAAGGCGACUGACUGGACAAGUAUGACGCUGAGGUGCGAAAGCGUGGGAGCAAACA